rnacentral:lncRNA from 1 species
CAGAGAGGUAGCUGGCAGCGUAACUACCACUUUGACAAAUGUUCUUGGUUGCAACAAGAGAUGAAAAAACAAAAGAAGGUUAUUGCAGAAGAAAGUUGUGCCAGCUAAAGUUGGUUGGGAAAGUUUUGUUGGGAUAUCGAAUGCCCACAAGAUUUACUUUUUCCCAAGGAAUCAUAAGAUUGGUAGUAGGAAUCAUCAGGUUGUUUGAAGCAUAUCCCGCACAGAAUGUUCAACAAGAAAAGUGUUGACAACAACAUGAAAGGAUAAAGAAGAAAAAGUAUGUCUCCUUUCUGCAGAUCUUUGUAUUCACAUCAGCUGGAUAUCAGUUUUUAACUCCCUGUCUGGAAUUUACAUCUUUACAGAUGGAAGCUAUCUAUCAUGAUAGGAGUAUUCUGCCUCAAUUUCAAAUCUUUG